rnacentral:rRNA from 1 species
ACGUACACUCCUACGGGAGGCAGCAGUGGGGAAUAUUGCACAAUGGGCGCAAGCCUGAUGCAGCGACGCCGCGUGGGGGAUGAAGGCCUUCGGGUUGUAAACUCCUUUCGCUAGGGACGAAGCUUUUUUGUGACGGUACCUAGAUAAGAAGCACCGGCUAACUACGUGCCAGCAGCCGCGGUAAUACGUAGGGUGCGAGCGUUGUCCGGAAUUACUGGGCGUAAAGGGCUCGUAGGUGGUUUGUCGCGUCGUCUGUGAAAUUCUGGGGCUUAACUCCGGGCGUGCAGGCGAUACGGGCAUAACUUGAGUGCUGUAGGGGUAACUGGAAUUCCUGGUGUAGCGGUGAAAUGCGCAGAUAUCAGGAGGAACACCGAUGGCGAAGGCAGGUUACUGGGCAGUUACUGACGCUGAGGAGCGAAAGCAUGGGUAGCGAACAGGAUUAGAUACCCCGGUAGUCC